AUUGAACGCUGGCGGCAGGCUUAACACAUGCAAGUCGAGCGGGGUGAUGGUGCUUGCACUAUCACUUAGCGGCGGACGGGUGAGUAAUGCUUAGGAAUCUGCCUAUUAGUGGGGGACAACAUCUCGAAAGGGAUGCUAAUACCGCAUACGUCCUACGGGAGAAAGCAGGGGAUCACUUGUGACCUUGCGCUAAUAGAUGAGCCUAAGUCGGAUUAGCUAGUUGGGGGGGUAAAGGCCUACCAAGGCGACGAUCUGUAGCGGGUCUGAGAGGAUGAUCCGCCACACUGGGACUGAGACACGACCCAGACUCCUACGGGAGGCAGCAGUGGGGAAUAUUGGACAAUGGGGGGAACCCUGAUCCAGCCAUGCCGCGUGUGUGAAGAAGGCCUUAUGGUUGUAAAGCACUUUAAGCGAGGAGGAGGCUCUUUUGGUUAAUACCCAAGAUGAGUGGACGUUACUCGCAGAAUAAGCACCGGCUAACUCUGUGCCAGCCGCCGCUGUAA
rnacentral:rRNA from 1 species